GUUUUCUGCAGUUCUGUCCUCUCCUUCAUCCUCUUCCACUUCCACUUUCCCACUCAGAUAUUCCUCUCUUUCAUCAGUAGCCAAUCUUUCAUCACUUCCACUUACCAUUGGAUGCAGAAGCACAAGUAAAAAAUCAACACACAACAACUGCUCCAUCAAAGUCCAAGUGUCAUCAAGGAUGAUUGAGAAGGAAACCCCAGAAACUGAACGACCACAUACAUUUCUAAGAGAAUCUGAUGAAGGGUCAUCGGGGGAUGAGUCGAAUUCGGUUAGAGCACGUUUUGAGAAGAUGAUUAGGGAGGUUCAAGACAGUGUUUGUGCUGCUUUGGAAGAUGUAGAUGGAGGGGGUAAAUUCAAGGAAGAUGUUUGGUCCAGGCCUGGUGGGGGUGGUGGGAUUAGUAGGGUAUUGCAAGAUGGGAAUGUUUUUGAGAAGGCUGGUGUUAAUGUUUCUGUUGUUUAUGGUGUUAUGCCUCCUGAAGCUUAUCGAGCUGCUAGGCCAGUUGAUAAUGGAAAUACUAAACCUGGUCCUAUCCCCUUUUUUGCUGCUGGCGUUAGCUCGGUUAUACAUCCAAAAAACCCCUUUGCACCAACUGUACAUUUCAAUUAUCGCUACUUCGAGACUGAUGCUCCUAAAGAUACUCCAGGAGCACCUAGG
rnacentral:misc_RNA from 1 species